ACUCCUACGGGAGGCAGCAGUGGGGAAUAUUGGACAAUGGGCGAAAGCCUGAUCCAGCAAUACCGCGUGAGUGAUGAAGGCCUUAGGGUUGUAAAGCUCUUUUAGUAGGGAAGAUAAUGACGGUACCUACAGAAAAAGCCCCGGCUAACUCCGUGCCAGCAGCCGCGGUAAGACGGAGGGGCUAGCGUUGUUCGGAAUUACUGGGCGUAAAGAGCGCGUAGGCGGCUUAACAAGUUGGGAGUGAAAUCCCGGGGCUUAACCUCGGAACUGCUUCCAAAACUGUUAGGCUAGAGUAUAGUAGAGGGUGAUAGAAUUCCUAGUGUAGAGGUGAAAUUCUUAGAUAUUAGGAGGAACACCAGUGGCGAAGGCGGCCACCUGGACUGAUACUGACACUGAGGCGCGAAAGCGUGGGUAGCGAACAGGAUUAGAUACCCUGGUAGGUC
rnacentral:rRNA from 1 species